rnacentral:rRNA from 1 species
CCUACGGGUGGCAGCAGUGAGGAAUAUUGGUCAAUGGGCGCGAGCCUGAACCAGCCAAGUCGCGUGAAGGACGACUGCCCUACGGGUUGUAAACUUCUUUUAUAAAGGAAUAAUGUGAGCCACGUGUACCUUUUUGUAUGUACUUUAUGAAUAAGGAUCGGCUAACUCCGUGCCAGCAGCCGCGGUAAUACGGAGGAUUCGAGCGUUAUCCGGAUUUAUUGGGUUUAAAGGGAGCGUAGAUGGGUUUUUAAGUAAGUUGUGAAAGUGUGCGGGUCAACCGUAAAAUUGCAAUUGAUACUGGCAGCCUUGAGUACAGUUGAGGUAGGCGGAAUUAGUGGUGUAGCGGUGAAAUGCUUAGAGAUAACGAAGAACUCCGAUAGCGAAGGCAGCUUACGAAACUGCCACUGACACUGAUGCUCGAGAGUGUGGGUAGCAAACAGGAUUAGAUACCCUAGUAGUC